rnacentral:rRNA from 1 species
CCAAUAGCGUAUAUUAAAGUUGCUGCAGUUAAAAAGCUCGUAGUUGAAUUUCGGGACCAUCAUGUCGGUCGUGCCUCGGUACGUACUGGCAUCGUUGGUUUCUCCCUUCUGACGAACCCUGAUGUCCUUAAUUUGGUGUCUUGGGGAAUCAGGACUGUUACUUUGAAAAAAUUAGAGUGUUUAAAGCAGGCUCACGCUUGAAUACAUUAGCAUGGAAUAAUGAAAUAGGACGUUUGAUUCUAUUUUGUUGGUUUCUAGGAUCGACGUAAUGAUUAAUAGGGAUAGUUGGGGGCACUAGUAUUCAAUUGUCAGAGGUGAAAUUCUUGGAUUUAUUGAAGACUAACUACUGCGAAAGCAUUUGCCAAGGAUGUUUUCAUUAAUCAAGAACGAAAGUUAGGGGAUCGAAGACGAUCAGAUACCGUCGUAGUCUUAACCAUAAACUAUGCCGACUAGGGAUCGGAUGAUGUUAAUUUUUUAAUGACUCAUUCGGCGCCUUACG